rnacentral:rRNA from 1 species
AACGAACGCUGGCGGCAGGCUAAACACAUGCAAGUCGAACGCCCCGCAAGGGGAGUGGCAGACGGGUGAGUAACGCGUGGGAAUCUACCUAGUUCUACGGAACAACUGAGGGAAACUUCAGUUAAUACCGUAUACGCCCUAUGGGGGAAAGAUUUAUCGGAAUUAGAUGAGCCCGCGUAAGAUUAGCUAGUUGGUGAGGUAAUGGCUCACCAAGGCGACGAUCUUUAGCUGGUCUGAGAGGAUGAUCAGCCACACUGGGACUGAGACACGGCCCAGACUCCUACGGGAGGCAGCAGUGGGGAAUAUUGGACAAUGGGCGCAAGCCUGAUCCAGCCAUGCCGCGUGAGUGAUGAAGGCCUUAGGGUUGUAAAGCUCUUUCAGUAGGGAAGAUAAUGACGGUACCUACAGAAGAAGCCCCGGCUAACUUCGUGCCAGCCGCCGCAGUAACAC